rnacentral:rRNA from 1 species
UACGUAGGGUGCAAGCGUUAAUCGGAAUUACUGGGCGUAAAGCGUGCGCAGGCGGUUUUUCAAGACAGAUGUGAAAUCCCCGGGCUUAACCUGGGAAUGGCAUUUGUGACUGGAAGGCUAGAGUGUGUCAGAGGGGGGUAGAAUUCCACGUGUAGCAGUGAAAUGCGUAGAGAUGUGGAGGAAUACCGAUGGCGAAGGCAGCCCCCUGGGUCAAGAUUGACGCUCAUGCACGAAAGCGUGGGGAGCAAACAGG